UACGUAGGGUGCGAGCGUUGUCCGGAAUUAUUGGGCGUAAAGGGCUCGUAGGCGGUCUGUCGCGUCGGUAGUGAAAACUCAGGGCUUAACCCUGAGCCUGCUUCCGAUACGGGCAGACUAGAGGUAUGCAGGGGAGAAUGGAAUUCCUGGUGUAGCGGUGAAAUGCGCAGAUAUCAGGAAGAACACCCGUGGCGAAGGCGGCUCUCUGGGACGGUACUGACGCUGAGACGCGAAAGCGUGGGGAGCGAACAGG
rnacentral:rRNA from 1 species